AACUCUGAUGAUGUUAAAACUAAAACUUUCGUUCUCCUGAGAUUUCAAUGUGCUGAAAAAAUUUGGAGACCUGAACUGAAGAGUU
rfam:Capsella rubella cultivar Monte Gargano unplaced genomic scaffold scaffold_1, whole genome shotgun sequence.